GAAAAGGACAACAGCUUUCUGGGCGGUUCCUGAAACAACCAGUUCUACGCUUUUCCUGGGAUGAGGGAAUGACAGAAGAUCAGCACCACAACUGAGUUAUAGGACACUGAAGAUGGAAAACACGCUUCAUGCAUGCUAGACUCUACCAAUUAAGCCACACACACAGUUUUUUGUUUGUUUGUUUUGUUUUGGGUUGUUUUUGUUUUGUUUUGUUUUUGUUUUCUUCGGUUUUUGUUUUUGGGGGAUUUUGAUUGGUUGGUUGGUUGGUUUCUUUCUGUUUGUUUUUGUUUUGUGUUGUGUUGUGUUGUGUGUUUGUUCUACAUAGCUUCUUGCUCUGUAGGUCCUGCCGGCCUAGAGCUUCCAGGAUCCUCCGGCCUUUGCCCCAGAGGCUAAAAGUGUAUACAACCCCCCACGAUGGAACAAAAAAUUUUAACAGGGUCUCUUCUAUGAAGCAUUAAGAUUCUUAAGUAACAUGGAGAUGAGCAUCCUUGUCAAUAAACCUUUAGGUACUUCCUCCAUUAUUUCCUUUUGCUUCCCUCUCAGGGGCAGGCCCUUUAACCGUAAAAUAAAAUAUACUGUGUUUAUGGCUAA